CACGUGAGCAACCUGCCUCUGAGAGAGGGAUAGCUUCUGGAAACGGAUGGUAAUACCUCAUAACAUAACGAAGCCGCAUGACUUUGUUAUCAAAGAUUCAUCACUCAGAGAUGGGCUCGCGUCUGAUUAGAUAGUUGGUGAGGUAACGGCUCACCAAGUCGACGAUCAGUAGCCGGACUGAGAGGUUGAACGGCCACAUUGGGACUGAGACACGGCCCAGACUCCUACGGGAGGCAGCAGUGGGGAAUAUUGCACAAUGGGGGGAACCCUGAUGCAGCGAUGCCGCGUGGAGGAAGAAGGUUUUCGGAUUGUAAACUCCUGUCUUAAAGGACGAUAAUGACGGUACUUUAGGAGGAAGCUCCGGCUAACUACGUGCCAGCAGCCGCGGUAAUACGUAGGGAGCGAGCGUUGUCCGGAAUUACUGGGUGUAAAGGGAGCGUAGGCGGGAUGGCAAGUCAGAUGUGAAAACUAUGGGCUCAACCCAUAGACUGCAUUUGAAACUGUUGUUCUUGAGUGAAGUAGAGGUAAGCGGAAUUCCUGGUGUAGCGGUGAAAUGCGUAGAUAUCAGGAGGAACAUCGGUGGCGAAGGCGGCUUACUGGGCUUUUACUGACGCUGAGGCUCGAAAGCGUGGGGAGCAAACAGG
rnacentral:rRNA from 1 species